UUCUCUCAACUCUCUCUCAACUCACCUCAAACCCUAGCCGCCGCCUUCCAUCGGAACCCUAAUGCAUGGCCUCCCAGACUCAUCUGAGGCCUAUAUCGGCCUCCCAUGGCUUCUAUGUGCUCAUCUUUGAGGUCAUAUGAUCAGUCUUCGAAGGGGUCUCGACCAGGCCUUUGCUUGAUGGCUUUUCUUUGGUCAUCUUCGACCUCUGUCCGGCCAGCCAUGUCCAUUCAAGCUCGAUCUUCAACUAUCCGUCUUAGAUCAGGAAUUUUCAAAGCCUUUCUCACUUCCUGGGUUCCUUACGAAACCCUAACUCUAAGGUUCCUUCGAUUUAUUUUUAGAUCUGCCCUAGAUCUAUGUGUGUUUGAGUUUUCUGAACAUGUUUCUCGAAGUUACCCCAAAUUAUUUUUUGCUUUCAAAGUACUUUGACCUUUUAAGUAGGGUUUUUAAAGUUAUUUCGAAUUUCUUCUUUUGUUUUUAG
rnacentral:lncRNA from 1 species